ensembl:lncRNA
GUGGAGGCUCCCGGGCAGGUCCCGGCCCAGGUCCCUGACGAGUGGACGUUGUUCUGGACCCAGGGACUCCGGCUUUUCCCCAUAUCCCCGGACCAGAGCCGGCGCACAGCACUCGGGCUGGGGCUGCGCUGGGCCAGGAGGCGACGCGUCCCCCCGCGGGACCGGUAGGACGCACGUGGCCUCCCUGUGAGGACCCAGGCCAGCGCCAGGGCCCUCCCCAGUCGCUCAGCUUGGGUCUCCAGGCCUCUGCCCUCCCUCCUAGGGCCGGCAGGGGCAGGCUAUGGGCAUGGGCGACACCUCCCCAGAAAGCUCCUCCUUGCUUCAGAGGCUCUGCCUGUGCGGCCCGGGAGGGGGGAGGGGCGAUGCACCCCAACACCAAGCACCAAUGCGGGAGACCAGAGCAGCCACCCAGAGGCUUCCUCGGGCACAUGGAGCGUCAGGGGUGGCUCUUCGCAGGAGCUGUGAGGUGGACUAGCUCUGACGAGUGUCCCCACUGGAGACCAGCUGCCCCUGAUGCUUCUUCCCGGGGCCUCCUGCUCCGCCUCCCACCGGUCACCUCCACCAGCAGCCCGGCCACAAACCUGCAUGGCACACUGGUCCUCUCUGCGGCUGGGCGUGCUCUGCAAGGCACCAGCGUCUGGCUGUUUGAGUCUUACAGUUUUGAGGGCCUCUUGUCCAGAAGUGAACCCUUGUGUCUGCCUGUGCACCAGGCACAGGAGACACAGAAGAGAUUCACAGAAAGAAUCGCUCAGCUUUGGCGGCAACAAGUCCCACCAUCUGCCCUGCACAAGCUGCAGUCCCAGGACAGCCUGAGGCCUUGUCCUCUUCUUGUGGCCUGCUGCAGUCGCCAGGCCCUGGUCUCCCAGGCCUGGUUUUUCCAGUUGGACCGGACACACCCACGGAGCAGGCAUCCCGGGCCUGGGGAGGAGGAACCUGCUGAGCUCACCAGCCAACCCCCACCUGGGCCAUGUGUGUCCAGCCAGCACACUGGGCUUCGGGUUCCUGGCCCCUCGAUCUCAGCCGGGCAAAGCAGCGAUUCGGGUCUCAUGAUGUAGUCCAGCCUGGCAAUGAACUCUCUGCAAUCCUCCUGCCUCACCCUCCUGAGUGCUGAGGUUACAGGCGUGUGCCACCACGUCCAGCUGGACAGCUACUUUAAAAACAGCAUUUCCACUGAAUGGAGGGGAGGACACUCAGCUUUCCUUGGCAUGGCAGCUUCUAGCUCUGACACCUGGAACCUCCUCUUGAGGACACUGAAGUGGGAUUUUGGGGGAUGCCUGAUGCGCUGGUGCAGUGCUCCUGGAGUUCCCCACAGCUCCGGCUAGACCAGGGGUCACCCGCUCAAUGGCAGACAAGGAGGAAGCCACCUCCCAGUCCCAGCUUAUGCACCCCGGCUUAAGACAUCCCUCGGUGCCACCCCAGGUCCUGGCCAACAGGAAAACCCGAGUGGCCGGGAUGCAGAAGGGACAGGAAGGGCUCCACUUAGGACUGCAGGGGAAACACCAGAACUGCACAGUGUUUGCAAGAUGCCCUGGCCAGGUGCACUCCCUCCCAGGCUGCAGGGUCCAGCUUUGUCAGCUAUCUGGCAAACAAGGUGUGAUCUAGAUACGCAGAGAACGUUCAAAUUUUUUAAAUUUACUAUAGUAACACAUGGCCAUGUGUCUUCCCCACAACACAACCACUUACUUCAAACACACUCAUCCCAUCAUCCUGGCCACUUCCUGCAGCAGCUCUGGAGCCCUCUCUCCUGAGUGUCUUUAGUUGCAAUGCUCUGGCUGCCUCAACGUCCUGAAUGGAUUCAAAACAUUUCCUUUUCAUGGUCAUUUUGACUUUGGGGAAGAGCCAGAAGUCGCAUGGUGCCAGAUCCCAUGGACAGGUGGCUGAGGACACAGCGUCAAUUUUUUAUGAGCUACCUUUCUGUUGGAUGGCACCAGGCAGCAGUAUUCACCACAUUUUUUUUUAUUGUGCCUCGUAAAGACAUAGCAGGGGAAGAGGACAAAAUUCAUCAAUGUCAAUAUCAAUCCGUGUGGUCCCCAACUAAACUUUUCAGCUCAUCAUCUGUCAGCAUCGUGAUGUGCAGAGAAGACACAUCCAGCAGCCUUGGAGUCUGGGGUUUGGAUCUUUUCCCUGCUGGCGGCAGAAAGGACACUCCCCCGUCUGGAAGCUGGUGACCGUAGUGACCACAAUGAGGAGGGAUGUGGUGUGUGGUCCGCCUGGGCUCUGCUGCUGAGCCAGGAUGUGGGCGGGCGGGUGGACAGGCUGAGUGUGUUCUUGACUUGUGACAUUUUCAAGGCACAGUGAGCUUACGGGGCUGGGACCCGCGGCCCACGCAGGAGCGCCUGUGUGUGUUGCUCAAUACACUGCAGGGGCUGCAGGGUGGACACAGUGUUCAGGGAGACCAUGAGCCUGCUGGGAUUUCUGACUGCCUAGGAUCUCUGACUCCCACACUUUCCAAAUGGCUGGGACUGGGUCCCGAUGUCUGCUGGAUGCAAUUGAAAAUGGUAAAGAACGGGCUUGAUUCCCUAUGUGAAUGAUUAUGUGUGCGGUAGAAGUGUUUAAAUCGCAGGUUUUAAGGGCUGAGGUUGUAGCUAGCAGUCCAGUGCUUGCCCUGGGUUCAGUCCCCAGGAGCGGGGGCUGGCCUGGAUUAGCACCUGCCCCCCCCAAAACAGACCCGAAGGUGGAGCUCUCAGCCCUGGCACCAGAGCACACACCAGGCCUCUCAAGUCUCAGGGACACCUGGCCACACCCUGGCCACUCGGGUCAGCAUCCAGGGGCCACCAGGGCAUCGAGAGGGCUCUAAGCUCCCAGGUGAGCCACACCAGGGAGCAACCAUGUGUUUGGGCUGUGUCACCAUGUAGAUUGAUGGCCCACAAAUGUAACUUCUAUCUUGAAAUGGACCCCAGAAGCCGGGAAUGCUGGCGCACUCCUGUAAGUCCAGUAUAUAAGAGGCUGAGACAGGAGGAUAGCCUCAAGUUUGAGGCCAGCCUGGGCAACUUGGUGAGUUCAAGGCCAGCCUGAACUGCAUAGUGAGACCCUGUCUCAAUAGAAAAGAAAAGAAUCAGAAAAAGGGAAAGGAAAUAAAAACAAUAGCACGUUGCUGAUUUACUGACAUUGAGAAGCCACCAGCACCCGAGUGUUCCCUGCCUGGCCAGUGACUCAAAGCCUCUCCGCCCCUGGAUAGAGACGAUGCCUCCCUCCGUUACAGGAAUGUAAAUCCAUAGAGAAUCUAACAAC